rnacentral:rRNA from 1 species
GUGCAAGCCGUCCAGUACGGUGAAACCGCGAAAGGCUCAUUAAAUCAGUUAUGGUUCCUUAGAUUGUACCCACGUUACUUGGAUAACUGUGGUAAUUCUAGAGCUAAUACAUGCCGACAGAGUUCCGACCAGCGUCGGGCGCGGUUCACGCCGUCGCUCGGCGUUCGGAAGGAACGCUCUUAUUAGAUCAAAACCGGCCAAGCGGUCGCGACCGUAAGCGGCCCGCGCAAAGACUUGACGACUCUGAAUAAUUUCGAGCUGAUCGCACGGUCUYGUACCGGCGACGUAUCUUUCAAAUGUCUGCCUUAUCAACUGUCGACGGUAGGUUCGAUGCCUACCGUGGUGGUAACGGGUAACGGGGAAUCAGGGUUCGAUUCCGGAGAGGGAGCCUGAGAAACGGCUACCACAUCUAAGGAAGGCAGCAGGCGCGCAAAUUACCCACUCCCAGUUCGGGGAGGUAGUGACGAAAAAUAACGAUACGGGACUCUUAUGAGGCCCCGUAAUCGGAAUG